UCAGUUCUAUUACGUACUUUUUUUUUUAGUUUGUACUGUUUCUUAAGUGAAUAGUGUAAAACAUCUACUUUUAUUAUUAUUUUGUUAUUGCUGUAUUGGGGCUCAGUGGUUUAUAGUGUGGUUGUUGUCACGUGGUUACAGUUUCUCCAUCUGUCUGUAGAAUAUUCUCACCCUCAACGUAGGUCCUUUUUCACAAUCAUGCACCAAGACCCGAGUGCCCUCUCCCUCCCUACCCUUCCUCUCCUUCCUCAGAGUCCUUUGGUGCAAUGCCCCACACCCAGUUCACGUUCACUUUGUGUUUGUACCACAAGUACUGGGUGAUCUCACAGGUGGAAUUUAAGGAAUAAAAACAGAAAGGGGGGGAGUCGGGCUGUCUGCUUUCAUGGAAAACAAAGAUAGUACUUUUUUUUUUAAAAAAGGUUUAUUUAAUUUUACCUGUGGUGAAAUUAUGUUUCUUAUGAACUAUCAAUAAAGAUUUUGUAGGGAGUUGGGUGGUAGCACAGCAGGUUAAGUGCACAUGGCAUGAAGCACAAGGACUGGCUUAAGGAUCCUGAUUCAAGCCCCUGGCUCCCCACCUGUAGGGGAGUUGCUUCACAAGCAGUGAAGCAGGUCUGCAGGUGUCUUUCUCUCUCCCUCUGUCUUUCCCUGCUCUCUCCAUUUCUGUCUGUCCAACAGCAAUAACAACAAGGGCACAAGGGCUACAAAAAUGGGAAAACUGGCCCAUAGGUAAGCAGUGGAUUCAUAGUGUAGGCACCGAGCCCCAGUGAUAACCCUGGAGGAAAAAAAAAAAGUUACAACAUACGUAAUCACAAAAUCUGAUUUUCAUUGCUUCCUUAUAAGGAGCCCAGAGUCUCUGGGUAAUGGAAAUGGUUUUAGGGGUUUAGUUUUAGAUCCCUACACACAUGGAAUCUUUUUGAUAGUAAAUACUUAGAUAUAGCUAAGUUCCCUUUAAAAAAUAUUUACAUAGUUUAUUAUUUGACUAGUUAAAAUAAGUUUUCUAGUGGAUUUCAUUAACCAAUGUAUAUUAAAGGUAAAUUGACUCAGUCUCUAUUCACCACUUUCUUAAGGAUUUAUUUAUUUAUGAGAGAGAACCAAAGCAUCACUCUGUUUUAUACAGUACUAGGGAUCAAACUUGGGAUCUCAUGCUUAAGGGUCCAACUCUUAAUCCAUACACUACCUCCUGGGCCUAAAAACAUAACUUUCAAAAUAUAAGAAAAAUUGCCUAUCAAAAUAAUUCACUUAAGAAUUGUGAACUACAGAUUAAAAUCAACUUUAACUCAUCAAAUAACAAAUUAUAUAAAUAUUCAAAAAUAAAAGAACUUAACCAUAUUUGAGUAUUGUCCAAAAGAUAUCCCUGAAACAUUAAAAUUUUGCAAACCAAUGUCUUUAAUAGUAAAAAAUAAUUUUAAAAGUUCCUUAUGUAGAUAUUUUCCCAGUAUGUAACCAUAUAAUCAAGUCAGUUAUGAAAGAGAUUACCAUCUCUGGAAAAAAAUUAGUAUAACUUUGUAAAACCAUAAAGAUUUAGGGGAGAAAUUGUGACAUACCACUCAAAAUGCAAAGGAUUACAAGAAAGUACUAUGAGCAACUUUAUGCCACUAAAUUGCAGAACGUAGAAAAACCAGACAAGUUCUUGGAACCACAGUCUUCUAAAACUGAACCAGAAAAGUCUCCUCAGUGGUCUGGGAUGUGGUGCAGUGGAGAAAGCACUGGGCUCUCAGGCGUGAGAGUUCCUGAGCUCAGUCCUGGCAGCACAUACACCAGAGUGAUAUCCCUUUCUUUCUCUCUCUCCUCCAAUCUUUCUCAUUAAUAAAUACAAUCUUUAGGGGGAAAAAAGGUCCCAGGUGUUAUACACUGUUAAGCACACAUAUUACCAAAUGAAAGGACCCGGUUCGAGCCCCCUCUACCCACCUGCGGGGUGGUGCUUCAUGAGUGGUGAAGCAGGCGUAUGUCUUUCUUUCCCCUUUUCCUUUCUUUAUU